AUGAACGCUGGCGGCGUGCCUAAUACAUGCAAGUCGAGCGCACAGACGAGGAGCUUGCUCCUCUGAUGUUAGCGGCGGACGGGUGGGUAACACGUGGAUAACCUACCUAUAAGACUGGGAUAACUUCGGGAAACCGGAGCUAAUACCGGAUAACAUGUUGAACCGCAUGGUUCAACAGUGAAAGACGGUCUUGCUGUCACUUAUAGAUGGAUCCGCGCCGCAUUAGCUAGUUGGUAAGGUAACGGCUUACCAAGGCAACGAUGCGUAGCCGACCUGAGAGGGUGAUCGGCCACACUGGAACUGAGACACGGUCCAGACUCCUACGGGAGGCAGCAGUAGGGAAUCUUCCGCAAUGGGCGAAAGCCUGACGGAGCAACGCCGCGUGAGUGAAGAAGGUCUUCGGAUCGUAAAACUCUGUUAUUAGGGAAGAACAAAUGUGUAAGUAACUAUGCACGUCUUGACGGUACCUAAUCAGAAAGCCACGGCUAACUACGUG
rnacentral:rRNA from 1 species